ACGGGAGGCAGCAGUGGGGAAUAUUGCACAAUGGGGGAAACCCUGAUGCAGCGAUGCCGCGUGGAGGAAGAAGGUUUUCGGAUUGUAAACUCCUGUCUUAAAGGACGAUAAUGACGGUACUUUAGGAGGAAGCUCCGGCUAACUACGUGCCAGCAGCCGCGGUAAUACGUAGGGAGCGAGCGUUGUCCGGAAUUACUGGGUGUAAAGGGAGCGUAGGCGGGAUUGCAAGUCAGAUGUGAAAACUAUGGGCUUAACCCAUAGACUGCAUUUGAAACUGUAGUUCUUGAGUGAAGUAGAGGUAAGCGGAAUUCCUGGUGUAGCGGUGAAAUGCGUAGAUAUUAGGAGGAACACCGGUGGCGAAGGUGGCUAACUGGACGAUAACUGACGCUGAGGCUCGAAAGCGUGGGGAGCAAACAGGAUUAGAUACCCUGGUA
rnacentral:rRNA from 1 species